CCUACGGGAGGCAGCAGUGGGGAAUAUUGCACAAUGGGCGAAAGCCUGAUGCAGCAACGCCGCGUGAGCGAUGAAGGCCUUCGGGUCGUAAAGCUCUGUCCUCAAGGAAGAUAAUGACGGUACUUGAGGAGGAAGCCCCGGCUAACUACGUGCCAGCAGCCGCGGUAAUACGUAGGGGGCUAGCGUUAUCCGGAAUUACUGGGCGUAAGGGGUGCGGAGGUGGUUUCUUAAGUCAGAGGUGAAAGGCUACGGCUCAACCGUAGUAAGCCUUUGAAACUGGGAAACUUGAGUGCAGGAGAGGAGAGUGGAAUUCCUAGUGUAGCGGUGAAAUGCGUAGAUAUUAGGAGGAACACCAGUUGCGAAGGCGGCUCUCUGGACUGUAACUGACACUGAGGCACGAAAGCGUGGGUAUCGAACAGGAUUAGAUACCCUAGUAGUC
rnacentral:rRNA from 1 species